CGCUAGCGUAUCUAGUCUCUGUAUAUCUAUGGUCGGCACGUCUGGUAGCGUCUCUGGCUGCUGUUGAUCUUGUUUUUGGAGUAAAACACGGUGGAAGCUGAAUUAGUGAGGAUGACUCCUGCUUCUGUCAUCUCUAAGCUCCUCACACAUCUUUACCUGCACAUGAGGAAAAUCACUCCUGUAGAAUGCAGAUGCACAAUGAGGGACGUCUGCAGAGACUGAGAAAGAGUCUCACCACAUCCUGACAUGAGGAAAAAGACUUUAUUGAAGACUACAAUGAGAAAAACUAUCAGACAGCAGACGGCUGCAUUCAAGGUGAGCUCUGAACAUUUGAUCUGGAACAGGAAUUCAAUAACGGCAGCAUGAGCUUCAUUUCAGUCUGUAGCUGCUGAAUUCAUGGAUGAAUCAUCUGGCACUAGAGAAGAAGACCAUCAAACAUCCACAUCAGCUGAUGGAGGCCCAAGAGUCUCACCAAAC
ensembl:lncRNA